CAUGCCUCCUCUCUCUCUCUUUCUCUCCUUAGUAUACAAUUCAAUUAUUAUGCUAUGAUAGUUAGAGGCCCUUCCUAUUUAUAGAGGAUUCUCCAUGACCUAUAAGACUAGGAUUCUUAAUUCAAACAGACUUUGAAUUAAUCCAUCACUUAUCCAAGAAGGAAUCCUAAGGAAGAAAGAAUUGGUGCCUAACUAGGUGCCCUUAUGCACCCAUGCUCACACCCAAUGUGAGGUGACAAGAACCAACACCCCAUCUAGUUUUGAUCGGCCAUG
rnacentral:lncRNA from 1 species